ensembl:lncRNA
AUUCCAUGUUUAUUAAAAGGUUAGCAGUACUUAAAAUUGUAUAAGAUACUGGUUUUGCAUUUAGCAGAGCUCUUUGCAAAAGAUUGACAUGUUUAAGUAUCACAAACAAUAAAGCCAAAAUCAAUUUCCCACAACUAUUGCAAACACAGUAAAACAUGCUGCAUGCCAACCAAACACAUGACUGCUUCCUUCAUAUAAAUAUCCUCUCUCUACCCUCCAAAAUGGGCUAAAAGUGGAAAAAUUAAACACUGCACCUGAAAAAACAGCAAAACCUCACUUCAUUUCCACAGUGGACAUGCAUUUAUAAAUAAUUUCCUCUUUCUAGUUUCUCCAUCUCACAGAAGCUGCCUGAACUGCACAGAGUGAGCUGUUAAAAGUCGGACAAUUCCCACUCUCCCUCUGCUUUUAGUAAGGCAGAACAGGGGAAAAGAUUAAGAGAGCAGUUCACUGAUGGGAAGAGGACGUGGCACAGACCCCCGAGACAUUACUGAGUGACAUCGAAAGACGGUCGAGCCAGAGGAAUCUUGGCAUUGAGACUUAAAGGUGCUGUAUAUGUCCUCAGAGGAAACCAAAAGCACCAGGUAACCAUGUCUCCUCUGAAGAGAAGAAAGCAACCGAGGGACGCGGGAAAAUACAUCCCGAUAUCUACACAGACACACACACACACACACACACACACAUAGGAGAAUGAACGUGAGGGCGAACAAUGAUGUCCGUUCUUUGGGUUCCUGCUCUUCAGUCGGUCAGGUACACAUCAGUGACCCGCUCAUUGAGCUGCUCUGAGAAUCUUCCAUAAUCAAAUGCAAAUAAUGUAAGUAAUACGGAGCAGAACUGCUGGAGUGAGUUUCCACCGGCCUUUAUUCAGACUCAGGGAUGUGGAGGUGGACAAACGCUCAAUGGCUGCGUUUUAAUGGAGAUAAAAUGAGGGUAAAUUGAAAGUAGGAUAUGGUAACCAGGAUACAAAUGGCACAAGGAAAUUAGAAAGUUAUUGAUUCACUGUGUGAAAAAUAUUUAAAUAUUAGAAUGAUCAAUAUAGAGAAUCGACACAACUGUAAUUACAGAGACAAAUCGCCUUUUUAUAAAAUGUCCUUAUGAAUUGCAGCUGUGUAAUUCACAGUAUUUGAUGGAUUUAUUGUGUACAUUUACAAUUAUUAUAUACACACAUUUCUCACUUUUUAUUUAUUCUUUCAUAUAUUUCAAAAAUAGAAUGUAAAAAUAUGUUAAUAUUACAUAAUAUUGUUUCUUUGUGAAGCACAAAAUACUGACUGAACAAUGCAGUGUAAUAUCAGAUUCGACAGAUACAUUUUUAGACUGAACUAUUUUUGCACUGAUAUUGAUAAUUUAUGUAAUGAAUAUAAUACAU